UGGGGAUAGUUCUGUGUAUACAGUGAUUAAGCACAUAGGUUCUGGAGCCAGUCUGUUUCUUUCAAAAUCACCUCAUUGCUUUUGAAGAAUCAGGGAAACCCCCAUGAGACUACAGGUGUGAAGCAAGAUAGAAGCAUCAGUGCAAAAGAGAUUCUCUUACUGAGAUACCUUGGAACAUGGUUUGAAUAAUAUUGCUCUAACUUCUUUCAUGUCAGGAAGCUCUGAGAUGCAGAAACACAGAAAGGAAGAGGAUUAGCAACUUUCCCAGAUCUGAGUUGAGCUGAGAUUUGAGUCAAGGCAAUAUUGCUUCUGGGGCUGUAACAACUACAUUUUAUUGUCUCCUGAACAGAUACUUCCUUUUCUUACUUAAUAAGAAUAGACCUUGGAGGUCUGGACCUGGACAUGAACGUACACUUUUCUAAAGAAGAUAUACACAUGGCCAACAAGCAUGUGAAAAAAAGCUCAAUAUCACUGAUCAUUAGAGAAAUGCAAAUGAAAAUCACAAUGAGAGACCAUCUCACACCAGUCAGAAUGGCUAUUAUUAAAAACUCAAAAAAUAACAGAUGCUGGCGAGGUUGCAGAGAAAAGGGAACACUUAUACACUGUUGGUGGGAGUGUAAAUUAGUUCAACUAUUGUGUAAAGCAAUAUGUCAAUUCCUCAAAGAGCUAAAAAAGAACUACCAUUGGACUCAGCAAUCCCAUUACUGGGUAUAUACUCAGAGGAAUAUAAGUCACUCUACUAUAAACACACACGCAUGCAAAUUUUCAUUGUAGCACUAUUUACAAUAGCAAAGACAUGGAAUCAACCUAAAUGCUCAUCAAUGACAGAUCGGAUAAAGAAAAUAUGCAUCUUCAACCUUUCUGGACUACAGCACCUGCCAACUGACCCCCACAUCAUGGCUCCAACGCUGGCUUCAUCACAUAUCUUCUCUCUCAGUCCCUUUGGCUCUCAGGGUGCAAUAGCUUAACAAAAUUGCUGAUCUAGGUGCCUCAGCAUUGUUUCUUUGUCAUAGUCUCUGUAUUAUCUUAUUUUGAGCCAUUCUUUUCCUGCAAAGAUCCUAACUGAAUGAGAUAACUACUUCAUAAGCUAUUUGUAAGGUUUAAAUAAAUUAAUGCAUAUUUAA
rnacentral:lncRNA from 1 species